rnacentral:sRNA from 1 species
AUGCUGUUCAUUAGGAUGCUGAGGCGACUGGGGCAGAGCCCAGCCUGUGGCUGUUGGACACCUGUCCUGCCGGUCCGCUUUCUGGGCAUCUCCCCUCGGCAAAUUCCAGCAGAUGCUAACUUCCACUCUGCGUCUUUCUCUGACACAGACCAUCCACGAGUCUUAAUUACAGGGGGUCUUGGCCAGCUGGGAGUGGGGCUUGCUAAUCUUUUGAGGAAACGAUUUGGAAAGGACAAUGUGAUUUUGUCUGACAUAAGGAAACCCCCCGAUCAUGUCUUUCACAGUGGUCCGUUCAUUUAUUCUGAUAUCUUGGAUUAUAAGAAUCUUCGGGAGAUCGUGGUAAACAACCGCAUCACCUGGUUGUUUCAUUACAGCGCUUUGCUCAGCGCCAUUGGAGAAGCAAAUGUUUCCCUGGCAAGAGCAGUGAAUAUAACUGGCCUGCAUAACAUCCUGGACGUCGCUGCGGAACACAAUCUGCGAUUGUUUGUGCCUAGCACGAUCGGGGCUUUUGGACCCACCUCUCCCCGGAACCCAACCCCCGAUCUCUGUAUUCAGAGACCCAGGACCAUCUACGGGGUGUCCAAGGUCCACGCGGAGCUCAUGGGAGAAUAUUAUCAUUACCGGUAUGGGUUAGAUUUCCGAUGCCUGAGAUAUCCUGGAAUCAUUUCAGCUGACUCCCAGCCUGGAGGAGGAACAACUGACUAUGCAGUCCAGAUUUUCCAUGAUGCCACAAAGCAUGGCAAAUUCGAGUGCAACCUGGAAGCCCGCACGAGGCUGCCCAUGAUGUACAUUGAUGACUGCCUCAGGGCCACCCUGGAGGUCAUGGAGGCCCCAGCCGAGUCCCUUUCCAUGAGGACCUACAAUGUCAGCGCCAUGAGCUUCACACCUGAGGAGCUGGCCCAGGAGGUCCUCAAGCACGUGCCGGAAUUCCAGAUCACAUACAACGUGGAUGCCGUUCGGCAGGCCAUAGCGGAUAGUUGGCCGAUGAACUUUGAUGACAGCAAUGCUCGGAAGGACUGGGGGUGGAAACAUGAUUUUGAUCUUCCAGAGUUGGUGACUGCCAUGUUGAACUUCCAUGGUUCUGAAACCAGAGUUGCCCAAGCCAACUGA